GACGAACGCUGGCGGCGUGCUUAACACAUGCAAGUCGAGCGGUAAGGCCCUUUCGGGGGUACACGAGCGGCGAACGGGUGAGUAACACGUGGGUGACCUGCCCUCAGCUCUGGGAUAAGCCUGGGAAACUGGGUCUAAUACCGGAUAUGACUCCAUGACGCAUGUUGUGGGGUGGAAAGCCUUGUGCGGCUGAGGAUGGGCCCGCGGCCUAUCAGCUUGUUGGUGGGGUGAUGGCCUACCAAGGCGACGACGGGUAGCCGGCCUGAGAGGGCGACCGGCCACACUGGGACUGAGACACGGCCCAGACUCCUACGGGAGGCAGCAGUGGGGAAUUUUGGACAAUGGGGGAAACCCUGAUCCAGCCAUGCCGCGUGAGUGAAGAAGGCC
rnacentral:rRNA from 1 species